AGAGUUUGAUCCUGGCUCAGAAUGAACGUUGGCGGCGUGGAUUAGGCAUGCAAGUCGUACGGUAAGCUUCGGCUUAUAGUGGCGAAAGGGAGAGUAACGCGUGGUUACAUGCCCUCGGGACCGGGAUAGCGGCGGGAAACUGCCGGUAAUACCGGAUAAUAUCUUUGGAUCAAAGGUGUGAUUCCGCCCGAGGAUUGGACCGCGUUCUAUUAGCUUGUUGGCGGGGUAAUGGCCCACCAAGGCGACGAUGGAUACCGGGUGUGAGAGCAUGGCCCGGCUCACUGGGACUGAGACACUGCCCAGACACCUACGGGUGGCUGCAGUCGAGAAUCUUCGGCAAUGGGGGCAACCCUGACCGAGCGACGCCGCGUGCGGGACGAAGGCCUUCGGGUUGUAAACCGCUGUCAGUUGGGAGGAAGUGCCGGGGGGUUCUCCCCUCGGUUUGACCGAUCUUCAGAGGAAGGACGGGCUAAGUUCGUGCCAGCAGCCGCGGUAAGGCGAACCGUCCAAACGUUAUUCGGUAUCACUGGGCUUAAAGCGUGCGUAGGCGGCCUGGUAGGUGAGGUGUGAAAGCCCACGGCUCAACCGUGGAAUUGCGCUUCAAACCACCAGGCUGGAGGAUGGCAGGGGUGAUGGGAACUGAUGGUGGAGCGGUGAAAUGCGUUGAUAUCAUCAGGAACACCGGUGGCGAAGGCGCAUCACUGGGCCAUUUCUGACGCUGAGGCACGAAAGCUAGGGUAGCGAACGGGAUUAGAUACCCCGGUAGUCCUAGCUGUAAACGAUGAGCACUGGGUUGAGGGGACCUCCACAUCUUCUCGGCCGUAGCGAAAGCGUUAAGUGCUCCGCCUGGGGAGUAUGGCCGCAAGGCUGAAACUCAAAGGAAUUGACGGGGGCUCACACAAGCGGUGGAGGAUGUGGCUUAAUUCGAGGCUACGCGAAGAACCUUAUCCUAGACUUGACAUGCUUAAGAAUCUUC
rnacentral:rRNA from 1 species